UCCCUGGCAGUCCAGUGGUUAAGACACUGUGCUUCCAAUGCAGGGGGUACAGGUUCAAACCCUGGUCAGGGAA
rnacentral:tRNA from 1 species